rnacentral:rRNA from 1 species
UCCGUUUGAUCCUGGCGGAGGUUACUGCUAUCGGUGUUCGAUUAAGCCAUGCGAGUCGAGAGGGGUCAUGCCCUCGGCGUACUGCUCAGUAACACGUGGACAACCUGCCCAAAGGUCCGGGAUAACCCCGGGAAACUGGGGAUAAUACCGGAUAAAUCAUGAGUACUGGAAGGUCUUGUGGUUGAAACUUCCGGGGCCUUUGGAUGGGUCUGCGGCUGACUAGGUUGUCGCCGGUGUAACGUACCGUCAAGCCUGUAAUCAGUACGGGUUGUGGGAGCAAGAGCCCGGAGAUGGAUUCUGAGACACGAAUCCAGGCCCUACGGGGCGCAGCAGGCGCGAAAACUCUACAAUGCAGGCAACUGCGAUAGGGGAACAUCGAGUGAUACUCAUCUUGGGUGUCUGUCCUCCCGUCUAAAAAACGGGAGUUAGCAAGGGCCGGGCAAGACCGGUGCCAGCCGCCGCGGUAAUACCGGCGGCUCGAGUGGUAGCCGAUAUUAUUGAGUCUAAAGGGUCCGUAGCCGGCUUUGCAAGUCUUUUGGGAAAUCCAGCGGCUUAACCGUUGGUCGUCCGGGAGAUACUACAUUGCUUGGGACUGGGAGAGGUAAGAGGUACUCAGGGGGUAGGAGUGAAAUCCUGUAAUCCUUUGGGGACCACCGGUGGCGAAGGCGUCUUACCAGAACAGGUCCGACGGUGAGGGACGAAAGCUAGGGGCACGAACCGGGUUAGAUACCCGGGUAGUCCUAGCCGUAAACGAUGCUCGCUAGGUGUCACAACAAUCGUGAAUUGUUGUGGUGCCGUAGGGAAGCCGUGAAGCGAGCCACUUGGGAAGUACGACCGCAAGGUUGAAGCUUAAAGGAAUUGGCGGGGGAGCACCACAACGGGUGGAGCCUGCGGUUUAAUUGGACUCAACGCCGGACAGCUUACCGGGAUCGACAGUUGUAUGAAGGCCAGGCUGAAGACCUUGCCGGACUAGCUGAGUGGAGGUGCAUGGCCGCCGUCAGUUCGUACCGUGAGGCGUCCUGUUAAGUCAGGCAACGAGCGAGACCCA